CGCGGGGUGGAGCAAUAGGCAGCUCGUCGGGCUCAUAACCCGGAGGUUGGAGGUUCGAGUCCUCUCCCCGCAACCA
rnacentral:tRNA from 1 species